rnacentral:rRNA from 1 species
UAAGCGACUAAGCGUACACGGUGGAUGCCCUGGCAGUCAGAGGCGAUGAAGGACGUGCUAAUCUGCGAUAAGCGUCGGUAAGGUGAUAUGAACCGUUAUAACCGGCGAUUUCCGAAUGGGGAAACCCAGUGUGAUUCGUCACACUAUCAUUAACUGAAUCCAUAGGUUAAUGAGGCGAACCGGGGGAACUGAAACAUCUAAGUACCCCGAGGAAAAGAAAUCAACCGAGAUUCCCCCAGUAGCGGCGAGCGAACGGGGAGCAGCCCAGAGCCUGAAUCAGUGUGUGUGUUAGUGGAAGCGUCUGGAAAGGCGUGCGAUACAGGGUGACAGCCCCGUACACAAAAAUGCACAUACUGUGAGCUCGAUGAGUAGGGCGGGACACGUGGUAUCCUGUCUGAAUAUGGGGGGACCAUCCUCCAAGGCUAAAUACUCCUGACUGACCGAUAGUGAACCAGUACCGUGAGGGAAAGGCGAAAAGAACCCCGGCGAGGGGAGUGAAAAAGAACCUGAAACCGUGUACGUACAAGCAGUGGGAGCACGCUUAGGCGUGUGACUGCGUACCUUUUGUAUAAUGGGUCAGCGACUUAUAUUCUGUAGCAAGGUUAACCGACUAGGGGAGCCGAAGGGAAACCGAGUCUUAACUGGGCGUUAAGUUGCAGGGUAUAGACCCGAAACCCGGUGAUCUAGCCAUGGGCAGGUUGAAGGUUGGGUAACACUAACUGGAGGACCGAACCGACUAAUGUUGAAAAAUUAGCGGAUGACUUGUGGCUGGGGGUGAAAGGCCAAUCAAACCGGGAGAUAGCUGGUUCUCCCCGAAAGCUAUUUAGGUAGCGCCUCGUGAAUUCAUCUCCGGGGGUAGAGCACUGUUUCGGCAAGGGGGUCAUCCCGACUUACCAACCCGAUGCAAACUGCGAAUACCGGAGAAUGUUAUCACGGGAGACACACGGCGGGUGCUAACGUCCGUUGUGAAGAGGGAAACAACCCAGACCGCCAGCUAAGGUCCCAAAGUCAUGGUUAAGUGGGAAACGAUGUGGGAAGGCCCAGACAGCCAGGAUGUUGGCUUAGAAGCAGCCAUCAUUUAAAGAAAGCGUAAUAGCUCACUGGUCGAGUCGGCCUGCGCGGAAGAUGUAACGGGGCUAAACCAUGCACCGAAGCUGCGGCAGCGACGCUUAUGCGUUGUUGGGUAGGGGAGCGUUCUGUAAGCCUGUGAAGGUGUACUGUGAGGUAUGCUGGAGGUAUCAGAAGUGCGAAUGCUGACAUAAGUAACGAUAAAGCGGGUGAAAAGCCCGCUCGCCGGAAGACCAAGGGUUCCUGUCCAACGUUAAUCGGGGCAGGGUGAGUCGACCCCUAAGGCGAGGCCGAAAGGCGUAGUCGAUGGGAAACAGGUUAAUAUUCCUGUACUUGGUGUUACUGCGAAGGGGGGACGGAGAAGGCUAUGUUGGCCGGGCGACGGUUGUCCCGGUUUAAGCGUGUAGGCUGGUUUUCCAGGCAAAUCCGGAAAAUCAAGGCCGAGGCGUGAUGACGAGGCACUACGGUGCUGAAGCAACAAAUGCCCUGCUUCCAGGAAAAGCCUCUAAGCAUCAGGUAACAUCAAAUCGUACCCCAAACCGACACAGGUGGUCAGGUAGAGAAUACCAAGGCGCUUGAGAGAACUCGGGUGAAGGAACUAGGCAAAAUGGUGCCGUAACUUCGGGAGAAGGCACGCUGAUACGUAGGUGAAGCGACUUGCUCGUGGAGCUGAAAUCAGUCGAAGAUACCAGCUGGCUGCAACUGUUUAUUAAAAACACAGCACUGUGCAAACACGAAAGUGGACGUAUACGGUGUGACGCCUGCCCGGUGCCGGAAGGUUAAUUGAUGGGGUUAGCGCAAGCGAAGCUCUUGAUCGAAGCCCCGGUAAACGGCGGCCGUAACUAUAACGGUCCUAAGGUAGCGAAAUUCCUUGUCGGGUAAGUUCCGACCUGCACGAAUGGCGUAAUGAUGGCCAGGCUGUCUCCACCCGAGACUCAGUGAAAUUGAACUCGCUGUGAAGAUGCAGUGUACCCGCGGCAAGACGGAAAGACCCCGUGAACCUUUACUAUAGCUCGACACUGAACAUUGAGCCUUGAUGUGUAGGAUAGGUGGGAGGCUUUGAAGUGUGGACGCCAGUCUGCAUGGAGCCGACCUUGAAAUACCACCCUUUAAUGUUUGAUGUUCUAACGUGGACCCGUGAUCCGGGUUGCGGACAGUGUCUGGUGGGUAGUUUGACUGGGGCGGUCUCCUCCUAAAGAGUAACGGAGGAGCACGAAGGUUGGCUAAUCCUGGUCGGACAUCAGGAGGUUAGUGCAAUGGCAUAAGCCAGCUUGACUGCGAGCGUGACGGCGCGAGCAGGUGCGAAAGCAGGUCAUAGUGAUCCGGUGGUUCUGAAUGGAAGGGCCAUCGCUCAACGGAUAAAAGGUACUCCGGGGAUAACAGGUUGAUACCGCCCAAGAGUUCAUAUCGACGGCGGUGUUUGGCACCUCGAUGUCGGCUCAUCACAUCCUGGGGCUGAAGUAGGUCCCAAGGGUAUGGCUGUUCGCCAUUUAAAGUGGUACGCGAGCUGGGUUUAGAACGUCGUGAGACAGUUCGGUCCCUAUCUGCCGUGGGCGCUGGAGAACUGAGGGGGGCUGCUCCUAGUACGAGAGGACCGGAGUGGACGCAUCACUGGUGUUCGGGUUGUCAUGCCAAUGGCACUGCCCGGUAGCUAAAUGCGGAAGAGAUAAGUGCUGAAAGCAUCUAAGCACGAAACUUGCCCCGAGAUGAGUUCUCCCUGACCCUUUAAGGGUCCUGAAGGAACGUUGAAGACGACGACGUUGAUAGGCCGGGUGUGUAAGCGCAGCGAUGCGUUGAGCUAACCGGUACUAAUGAACCGUGAGGCUUAACCU